AUUAGCAUGAGGGGAGGGAACCACCUACCAUGGCCUUGUAUGGCCAUCCAAACAUGGUUCAGUCUUGGCAUAGGAUACUCCUCGUAGAGUGAAAGAGAUGGUUGAUACAUCCUACCUGUGCCAGCUAGCCCUUGUAGAGACCCGAAAGUUCAAUCCGGCACUGGUGGGGGCCCUGAUGGAGCAGUGGUGGCCGAGUACUCAUUCUUGUCAUCUCCUUGUUGGCGAGAUCACCAUCACGCCCCUAUGCUUCUAUACCUUGAUAGGCAUUCCACUUGGGGGUAGACCCAUGACCCUACCUAAGAUUUCAGCUGUCAGGGAGUUCACAGAUUUGACAGGCAUUACCAUCACGGUCGGCUAGACACACAUCCGUCUAAGGGAGAUUAGUGCCCGAUGGUGGAAAAUCGGCCUGGGGGAGAACCCAGGCAACAUGUCAUAGGUGGCCCAUUCUUUCUUGCUAUUUGCUGUGGGUCAGUGCCUUUUAAGUGACCUACGAGGGGGAGUAGAUAUCCGCCUGGUGUUCUUCCUCCAAGAUCUUCGUAUAGUAGAUUCUUAGGACUAGGGUGGGGCCGCCUAUGCAUAUCUCUUGCGGACCCUAGACCUACUAUCAUAUGGAGAUAGGGGCCUCAAGGGGGCAAGUUACAUUCUUCAGGUAACUUUCCUUCUUGUAACCAUUUCCUUUCAUUCAUUUGGAUUGCACUUUCUUACUUUAAUCUCUUGAAAUAGCCUUAGUGCUUUGAGCACUUGGGGACCAUAGCUCCAAGACUAAGGGACCCUUAGGCAUUCUUCUUCACUGUAGCCACGAGGUAGGGCGACAAUCAGGUGAUCAGGGCUUGGCACCAUCCUCUGGGGACCACUGCUCGUUCUCUUUUGAACGACCUCACUGAGGUAUGCCAAGUUUGAUAUUGAAAUUCCUUUUAUCUUGUGUUGUACUUACUUUUCCUUGGAUUUGUAGGUCACUUGGAGACCAUUUUAUUGCCAUGUAUUUCCAGAUUCUGAAGGAUUCACAUUGGCUAAACACUUAUUCGAGAACCAAGUCCUUUUUCAGGGCAUUUGGGGCCACGUCUAGUAUUUGGGAGAGAGGGUAGUACCCCAAUGGUCGGAUAUCGAGUCAUGCCCCUCUCACGGUCUUCCUCCACCCACUAUGCACUACUCAGAGAUCAUCGCAGUAGACGAGAUGAAGUGCUUGGCUGACAAAUUAUGGGAUGACUCAUUUCUUGACCAGGAUAAGGACUAUAGGGCCUUCCUGGAGGAGGAGACAGUAUGCACCCCUCUUGGUCCUGAUGGUCCAGUGGUGUCCCCAGAGGUUUAUUCUGAGAUCAGGAUGAUGCAUUAUGGCUUGUGUGAGACAAUUGUUGCCAAGGAUAGAAGGAUUGUCACCUUGCAGAGCCAAGUCAGCUCCAAUGAGUGGGAAAUUGCACGGAAGGAUACACUGAUUCAGGACAUGAGCCAGAGGUUGCAGUAGGCUGGACUAGCAUCCGUGGGUUCCCUGGUACUCCAUGGGGAUGAUUCAGAAUGAUGAUGCAGGUACAGUAGUGCUGCUUGGUGGUGACUCGACCUCAGUAGGGUUUGAUUAUGGUGGAUGCUAAAGGCCGAGGAGCAUGAAGUUUUAUGCUGGUGAUUACUGUGCUUAUGCAUCACCAUGAGAUGUGUGGCAUACUUUUGUUAUUCAGAUAAAGAACUGUGGAUGGUAUACUUUGGACUUAUUAUUUAUAAGCCAUGGAUAGUUGUAAUAGAAUAAUUUGGUUACUUAUAUGAUAUCACUAGAUGU